rnacentral:miRNA from 15 species
GCAACUGCAUACACUUCCAUA